rnacentral:rRNA from 1 species
CCUACGGGGUGCAGCAGUGGGGAAUCUUCCGCAAUGGGCGAAAGCCUGACGGAGCAACGCCGCGUGAUCGAAUGAAGGCCUUCGGGUUGUAAAGAUCUGUUGACAGGGACGAAUAAGCCAUGCGAAUAGUUUGGUGUAUGACGGUACCUGUUUAGAAAGCUCCGCCUAACUACGUGCCAGCAGCCGCGGUAAUACGUAGGGAGCAAGCGUUGUCCGGAAUUACUGGGCGUAAAGGGCGCGUAGGUGGGUGCUUAAGUCAGGUGUGAAAACUUUGGGCUCAACCUGGGGACUGCACUUGAAACUGGGUAUCUUGAGGGCAGGAGAGGAAAGUGGAAUUCCUAGUGUAGCGGUGAAAUGCGUAGAUAUUAGGAGGAACACCAGUGGCGAAGGCGACUUUCUGGACUGUACCUGACGCUGAGGCGCGAAAGCGUGGGUAGCGAACGGGAUUAGAUACCCGGGUAGUC